rnacentral:rRNA from 1 species
GAUGAACGCUGGCGGCGUGCCUAAUACAUGCAAGUCGAGCGAACAGACGAGGAGCUUGCUCCUCUGACGUUAGCGGCGGACGGGUGAGUAACACGUGGAUAACCUACCUAUAAGACUGGGAUAACUUCGGGAGACCGGAGCUAAUACCGGAUAAUAUAUUGAACCGCAUGGUUCAAUAGUGAAAGACGGUUUUGCUGUCACUUAUAGAUGGAUCCGCGCCGCAUUAGCUAGUUGGUGAGGUAACGGCUUACCAAGGCAACGAUGCGUAGCCGACCUGAGAGGGUGAUCGGCCACACUGGAACUGAGACACGGUCCAGACUCCUACGGGAGGCAGCAGUAGGGAAUCUUCCGCAAAGGGCGAAAGCUUGACGGAGCAACGCCGCGUGAGUGAUGAAGGUCUUCGGAUCGUAAAACUCUGUUAUUAGGGAAGAACAAAUGUGUAAGUAACUAUGCACGUCUUGACGGUACCUAAUCAGAAAGCCACGGCUAACUACGUG